UCAAGAAAGAAGAACAUAUAAUAAAACCGUGCUAUUAAAAGUUUACAAAAACAACAAAAAUUACAUUUUUUUGUCUGUCCCCAGUUCACUGUCAGUCACUGUAUGUUUGUACAUGUGAACAGCAAACGAUUUGCCAACAUUUCUUGAGAUCUGCCUCGAAUUUAUUAUCAAAUUGGGGCGGGGAAUCAAAAAUGCUUCUGAAUUUAUACAUACAAUGCAAUUCGCAGCUUGAAUAUACAUAUAUUACAAAAAUGAAACUUCACAUAAACACACAAAUUUUUAAAACCCUAAAUAUAAUAAAAAAAAAAGCAAAAAAUCGAAUUUGGCUUCUAGGGAUCUCAUCCUUGGUCGCCUUUACCUUAUAGUUCUGCCUGCGACAAUAACUGCCGCUUAGCCUCGGUUUAGCCAGGUUUAAGACCAAAGGCUUCCAACAUUUCUUGACUGAAAUUUUUCGACUUAUUCUUUCAUUGAGCGGCGUAUUGGGAGGCAGUUCAGUGUUCGUCAAUCAAUAUUUUCUUCAGCUCCGGCUGCGGUCUGCUUAAAUCUUCAGCGUGUUCGUAGAAAAAGUUUUAUGUAUUUACCAACUGCAAAGGCAACCGCCGAUGGCAACUGUUGGACAUGACGAACAUUUUGCUCAUCCUUUGUUGGACCCUUCUUGGCAGCAUUCCACUCCAAGAAGCGCUUUAGAGGUCUUGCCAGAUGGAUUUAUUAUGCUGCGAAGCCAGCUCUCGUUCUAAGGUUUCGUUCGGAGGAGGCUUCCUAUGGCGGUUUAGGUGCCGCACGCUUCACGCGAGUUGGAUUCCCGCGAAUAAUCCUGUUACUUUGAAAACGAUCCUCGCGUUGUUUUGCACGCGCCGCUUUCAGGAGUUCCCGGUUCUGCUCCCGAGUGCUCAAACGAACAAAAAGGAACGAACGAAAAUGACCGAUGAACAAAAAUAGACUAACUAAAAGAACGACUUAGUUUAGUGAAUAAUGAACGAAUCAAAUUAGUCAUAACUGAAUGACAUUAGAACUGACUAGCUGCAAAAACAGAGAUAGCCUUACGAGAACAGCAUGAAGUGAGUGCGAGAUAUAAAGGCGUCCAGUUGAGCUGGAAGCAGCGCUACCGAGAUGAUUGAUUGUUGCAAUUUUGCUGCCCAUGUGUUUUGUAAAAUAGCAUAAUACAGUGUUUCGGUUAUUAAGAAAUGAUUUGAAUGAUAUGGUGGAGAAUAUACCAAAUAUAUCUCCAUCGGCUAAAAAUUGUAAGACUUUUUUAAUGUUGUACUUAUAUUGUGCACAUACAUGUAAUUUUAUGAUAUAUUGGCGUUUAAAAACAAAUGUUUGUUUGGUUUUAUUAAAUUUGUAAGUUGAUAUAAGCAAAAUUUUUUUUGUUUAUUUUAGAAAAACAAAAACCCUUUGUAAAGGGUCUAACAGUUAAUACAUUGUAUGGAAAACAUAUAAUAAUUUAUGUCAGCUUCAAUGCAAGCUUUGUGUAUGAAUGGGAUUUCUAUAGUAAAUAGCUAUUAUAGGAACGAUCGAUCAAAGAAGAAGACUUUGGGAAGAAAAUACUUUGGAUGUAAGAAUAUAGAAAAUCGAGGAUCUACAUUCCAAGCCAUACAAAAUGUAUUGUCAGAGUUUUAGCUAGCCAAAACUCGAUACAUGGACGAAAUCUGAUUACGAUUAAUAAUAAAAAACAUUCAACUGAAAUCAAAUUAAUUAAUUAUUUUAUACGGCAUUAUUGUAAAUCUUCAGACGCAUGAAGAGUGGCUGUAAAUAUGUACAUAACACAGAACUUGGCAAUGUUUCAAAUGUGAAUAUUAAAUCUAUAUUUUUUUUUAAAUUCGCAUUUAAACUUAUUGCCGUUGUAGCUUUAAGGUAAAAUACAUUUGUUUAACUUCAUUUAAUUCCUGAAGAAAACAACAAUUAACGACCACAUUAUAGGAUGUCUUAUAAUAGAUUCACCCAAUAUCGUUUGAAACCAAUCGUUUCGAAAAAAAAAA